AAGCAUCCUUUGCAUAUCACUUGUCCAAUACAGGAGCAUUUGAGUCUAAUAGUACAUAUUCGAACCAUGAUUUGGUAGCUUUGAAGUGAAAUGAUGAAAUGAAAUGCUCAUCCAUUUGCCUCCUGAAAUGUAGUUGUUCGAGCUGUCAUAAUCGAAUAGAUAAUAGUUGAUCUGUAUUUGUUUAAGUUUA